rnacentral:rRNA from 1 species
GUGCCAGCCGCCGCGGUAAUACCGGCAGCCCAAGUGAUGGCCGCUGUUAUUGGGCCUAAAGCGUCCGUAGCUGGCCGCACAAGUCCGUCGGGAAAUCCGCCCGCUCAACGGGCGGCCGUCCGGCGGAACCUGUGUGGCUUGGGGCCGGAGGACUCGAGGGGUACGUCUGGGGUAGGAGUGAAAUCCCGUAAUCCUGGACGGACCGCCGAUGGCGAAAGCACCUCGAGAGGACGGACCCGACAGUGAGGGACGAAAGCCAGGGUCUCGAACCGGAUUAGAUACCCCUGUAGUCC